AUGAUGUUAAGUGUCCGAAACAUGUACGAUAGACAAUCAAAGGGAUGUGCUGCACCUUGGGCAUGUGCUGCAUCAAGAUGGGAAAAUGCACCUCAAACAAGUACAAUGCCUGAGACAUGCAUGAGCUUUAGACCUGAAAUAGGGAAGACUGUACAGGCGACCGAUCUUAAUUUCACAUCAAUGAUGUUAAAACCAACUAGCAUUAUUUUACUGCAAAAACACAUACACGUUGUAUAUCUGAUUAUUUUCUUUAAGAGCGCAUCCAAUUGUUUGAUCCAUACAAACAUGGUAAAAUACAAGCAAUCUUUAUUUUUCUGA
rnacentral:rRNA from 1 species